rnacentral:rRNA from 1 species
UACAGAGGGUGCGAGCGUUGUCCGGAAUCACUGGGCGUAAAGGGCGCGUAGGCGGCCCGGUAAGGUUGCGGUGAAAGCCCGGGGCUCAACCCCGGGUCGGCCGUGGCAACUGCUGGGCUGGAGCACAGUAGAGGCGGGUGGAAUUCCGGGUGUAGCGGUGGAAUGGCGUAGAGAUCCGGAAGAACACCGGUGGCGAAGGCGGCCCGC